GUAUUUAUAUAAUAUAUAUAUAUAUGCCAACCAAUAUGCAUUACAUUGUGUGUGUAACCAAUAUCAUAGACACAGUGUGUCUACAGGCAGUGCACAGGUGGAACAGAAGAAACAAAUGACCAGAGGGUGUGCACAUUGCCGCAAAGGGCCAGCACAACAGCAUCCAGCCAGAAGUUUCAUUCAAUAAUGAUCCUUCCGCAGGUUCACCUACGGAGA
rnacentral:misc_RNA from 1 species